AUUGAACGCUGGCGGCAGGCCUAACACAUGCAAGUCGAACGAGUGGCGGACGGGUGAGUAAUGUCUGGGAAACUGCCCGAUGGAGGGGGAUAACUACUGGAAACGGUAGCUAAUACCGCAUACCAUCGGAUGUGCCCAGAUGGGAUUAGCUAGUAGGUGGGGUAAUGGCGCACCUAGGCGACGACCCCUAGCUGGUCUGAGGGGAUGACCAUCCACACUAGAACUGAGACACGGUCCAGACACCUGCGGAAGGCAGCCGUGGGGAAUAUGGAACAAUGGGCGCAAGCCGGAUGCAGCCAUGCCGCGUGUAUGAAGAAGGCCUUCGGGUUGUAAAGUACUUUCAGCGAGGAGGCGUUACUCGCAGAAGGAGCACCGGCUAACUCCGUGCCAGCAGCCGCGGUAAUUC
rnacentral:rRNA from 1 species